UACAUGGGGUGCAAACGUUGCUCGGAAUUAUUGGGCGUAAAGGGCGCGUAGGCGGCCUGCUAAGUCGAACGUGAAAUCCCCGAGCUCAACUCGGGAACUGCGUCCGAUACUGGCAGGCUUGAAUCCGGGAGAGGGAUGCGGAAUUCCAGGUGUAGCGGUGAAAUGCGUAGAUAUCUGGAGGAACACCGGUGGCGAAGGCGGCAUCCUGGACCGGCAUUGACGCUGAGGCGCGAAAGCCAGGGGAGCAAACGGG
rnacentral:rRNA from 1 species